rnacentral:misc_RNA from 1 species
UAUCACUGGUUUUGAUACCCCUAUAUCAGAGACGACUUAUCCUCCACCAUCAAGAAUUACAAUUGAACAAUUAAUCCAAGCAAAACAUACUCUGUUGGUGUAAAGAUAUCUGCUUACAAUUGAAGGUUUGAGUUCAAAGAUCACAACUCAAAGAUCAGCUUUGUGGUCGUCCUUGAUACCCAGGAGUUUACCCAACUUCCCACUCUCAUAUGCUUCAACAGUAUCAUCCGAUCCGCCCAAGUGUUUUCCAUCUAUGAACACUUGAGGUACAGUCCGCCUUCCAAUAAGUGCACUUAGAGCAUCUUG